AUACGAAGGGGGCUAGCGUUGUUCGGAAUAACUGGGCGUAAAGCGCACGUAGGCGGAAUGUUAAGUUAGAGGUGAAAUCCCAGGGCUCAACCCUGGAACUGCCUUUAAUACUGGCAAUCUAGAGAUCGAGAGAGGUGAGUGGAAUUCCGAGUGUAGAGGUGAAAUUCGUAGAUAUUCGGAGGAACACCAGUGGCGAAGGCGGCUCACUGGCUCGAUACUGACGCUGAGGUGCGAAAGCGUGGGGAGCAAACAGGAUUAGAUACCCCAGUAGUCC
rnacentral:rRNA from 1 species